UUGUCCAUGACCAGACGAGCACAGUUCGAUUCUCCCACUAGUGAGGUCGUCUCAACACCCAAGCAUACAUCCACUCCAUGCCCAUAAAUUUGACAUUUGAAAUAAGUUUUUGGCAGGGUUUCGUAUUCAACUCAUUAGAGGCGGCCAUUGAUUCGUACCUUUGAUACCAGUGGUUUCCUCAAAUAGACAUAGACCGCUAGCUGUGCAAAUCGUCCCCUAUGAGCAUAGUCCAUGUGAAUGUCCAAUUUCACCACCAAUCCAACUGUCUAACCAAUCUCCUUAAAGAGGUAGUUCGAAUAAUAUCUUUAUGGAAGACCAGUUAGCCUUAUCCAAACGACCUACGAUUCAAUCCCACUUUGGGCUAUUGAGAAAUCCGGUGACC
rnacentral:lncRNA from 1 species